GUGAGGAAUAUUGGUCAAUGGGCGGAAGCCUGAACCAGCCAAGUAGCGUGCAGGAUGACGGCCCUACGGGUUGUAAACUGCUUUUAGGCGGGGGUAAAGGGGCGCACGUGCUGCGCCUUUGCAAGUACCGCCAGAAAAAGGACCGGCUAAUUCCGUGCCAGCAGCCGCGGUAAUACGGAAGGUCCGGGCGUUAUCCGGAUUUAUUGGGUUUAAAGGGAGCGUAGGCGGGCUGUUAAGUCAGCUGUGAAAUCCGGCGGCUCAACCGUCGGCCUGCAGUUGAUACUGGUGGUCUUGAGUGCGCGCAGGGGCGUUGGAAUUCAUGGUGUAGCGGUGAAAUGCUCAGAUAUCAUGAAGAACUCCGAUCGCGAAGGCAGAUGCCCGGAGCGCAACUGACGCUGAGGCUCGAAAGUGCGGGUAUCAAACAGGAUUAGAAACCCUAGUAGUCC
rnacentral:rRNA from 1 species